rnacentral:rRNA from 1 species
UACGUAGGGGGCAAGCGUUGUCCGGAUUUAUUGGGCGUAAAGAGCGUGUAGGCGGCUAGGUAGGUCCGUUGUGAAAACUCGAGGCUCAACCUCGAGCUGUCGAUGGAAACCAUCUGGCUAGAGUCCGGAAGAGGAGAGUGGAAUUCCUGGUGUAGCGGUGAAAUGCGCAGAUAUCAGGAGGAACACCGGCGGCGAAGGCGGCCCUCUGGACGGUGACUGACGCUGAGACGCGAAAGCGUGGGGAGCAAACAGG